UGCUCUUGUGGCCUAGUGGUUAGAGUGUCUGCCUUGGAUGUGGGAGAUUGUGGGUUUCAAACCCCAGCCAAGUCAU